UUUAAAGAAAAAUAAAAUAUUAGAGGCAAGGAAACAAGUCAUUCAUUCUAGAAACAAAAACAUGAACCACAGAUCAGCCAAGACUCUUCAUAUUCCACAAUUCACCAUCAGAAAGACGGCACGCUCCUCUGAUUCACAGUUUCAGAGUCCAUGCACUUUGUCAUCCACAUCAUCAUCCAUUAUCCAUUUUUCUGCCAGGCUGAGAAAACACUGAAGGAUGAAAACACUUUCAACUGACAUUGGGAGAGUGAAAUAACACACCGAACAAGCAGUGGUUCAGGGACUCUAUUUCUUCCUGGUGUGUAAAUGACUGCAGCCACGCUGUUCAGUAGAUUGAUGGAAAGAUGAAGGGACAGAGUAGCCUACAUUCCACCAAUCUAUUUCAAGGAUGACAAGACCUUCAUGACGCUUGAAAGGACAUUUCUAUUUCUUAUUUUUAAAAAAAUAUUCAACUGUUUAAAUAUUAGUGAAGAUAAAUGUUAAAAACACUAGUAGGAUAUAAAAGUUGCAAUCUUAAAAGGAUCACAUUUAGGCUACUGUAGAUAUCUUGAAAUACUCUGCUUUUGGUAGGCAGAAAAUAGAGUAUGAUGUUUCCAUGAAGCUUAGCCAAGUGGAGGAAAUUUGGCCUAAUUGAACAAGAACUUAUCACAAUGUAUUUUCAGGACCUCUGUAUAGGAGCGUAUGGAAUCUAACAAAUGUGUUCAAAUUCACUAACCUUGUCAGUCUUAUUUAUAUAAUACUGAACAAUGCAAAAUAAAAUCUUAUA